UUUCCGUAGGUGAACCUGCGGAAGGAUCAUUAAUGUAACCGGACCUUACCGGUGCCGUAAGACGCAUCGGUUUGGAAAGGGAGAUAUUAUACACCCUGUGUUUAUUUACCUUUGUUGCUUUGGCGGGCCGUCCUUUCAGGCGUCGGCCCGGCUGAUCGCGCCCGCCAGAGGACCCAAACUCUUUUAUCAGUGAUGUCUGAGUUCUAUAUAAUAGUUAAAACUUUCAACAACGGAUCUCUUGGUUCUG
rnacentral:misc_RNA from 1 species